rnacentral:rRNA from 1 species
UACGGAGGGUGCUAGCGUUGUUCGGAAUUACUGGGCGUAAAGCGUGCGCAGGCGGCUUCUCAAGUCAGGGGUGAAAGCCCAGAGCUCAACUCUGGAAUUGCCUUUGAGACUGAGUGGCUUGAGUACGAGAGAGGUGAGUGGAAUUCCCAGUGUAGAGGUGAAAUUCGUAGAUAUUGGGAAGAACACCGGUGGCGAAGGCGGCUCACUGGCUCGUAACUGACGCUCAUGCACGACAGCGUGGGGAGCAAACAGG